CCUUACACCUUGAGUAUUUCAUCAGAUCUUGGAAGCGAUGCAGGGUUGAGCCUGAUCAGUACUUGGAUGGGAGACCACUGAGAAUACCAACGGCAACAGUGAGGC
rnacentral:rRNA from 1 species